rnacentral:lncRNA from 1 species
AGCAGGCCUCGUUCAUCCUUAGGGCCCUGGUCAGAUUGGUGGCCUCCUUCAGUGAUGAGCAGGAGCAGCCAGUAGCCAGGAGGGCGCUGGAGGAGGCCUACUGUCCCAAAAACAUCAACACCACCACAGGAAGAUGGGAACACCACAGGGUGUUUAACAGGGCAGUGUACCACAUGCUGUGCAAUGCCUUGGACAGGAAGAUGACAGCAGAGGAGCGGUUUGCUGUGCAGGCCCUCACCGCCAACCCCUCACUCUUCAGUACUGACACCAAGGAGCACUCCCCGAUAUUGGAAGCUGUGUCAGAGCCUCCGAAGGGCUGGAGAAAAAGGCAGCCAACAGCCAGUGAGAUCCAGGCAGUCACCAUCAUCCAAGCUGGCCUCAAAGGACACUUGGCACGAGAGGUCCUUAAUGCCUCAAAACCUGGUACACACACACA